UAUGUGAUCGUCUCUCGCAUAUCAAUAAGCGGAGGAAAAGAAACUAACAAGGAUUCCCCUAGUAACGGCGAGUGAAGCGGGAAGAGCUCAAAUUUGAAAUCUUAAAGGGUUUCCCUUUACGAAUUGUAGUUUAAAGAAGUGUUUUCUGUUGAGGUUUUGGUAAAAGUUCUUUGGAAUAGGACAUCAUAGAGGGUGAGAAUCCCGUAUUUGACCUUUACUUUCAACUUUGUGAUACACUUUCAAAGAGUCGAAUUGUUUGGGAAUGCAGUCCAAAAUGGGUGGUAAAUUUCAUCUAAAGCUAAAUAUUGGCGAGAGACCGAUAGCGAACAAGUACCGUGAGGGAAAGAUGAAAAGAACUUUGAAAAGAGAGUUAAACAGUACGUGAAAUUGUCAAAAGGGAAGCGUUUGACACCAGUGUUGUUUUUCUGAAAAUCAAUUAAAGAACUGUUUAUGCUAAGCUGUUUAGACUUUAUCAGCUAUCUGUUUAGUUUUGAGCUUUUCUUUAAUGCACUUUUCAGUUAACAAGUCAACAUCAAUUUCUUUUGCUGUAAAAAAGCUUGAGGAAGGUGGCUUGAGAUUCGUCUUAAGUGUUUAUAGCCUCUUGCCUAUGCAGUCGGAGAGAUUGAGGUCUGCAGCGUAGAUCCUUCGGGGCUAAAUGCAUUUGUGCUAAGUUAUAGCAUUUUAUAGACAACUUGUUGACUAUGAUUUGUCUUGUAGCUUACUCGCUUAUGUUAUUUUACCUACGCUUAGGAUGUUGAUCUCUCACAGUCGAGC
rnacentral:rRNA from 1 species